GGGUUGGAAGAGAGCAGGACUAAGUGGGAUCGGUCCAACGGUCGGUCCGUCCGGGGAGCGCGUCGGCCGGAGGGUGAGCGGCGAGGAGUCCGGCGGCGUGCCUCGAGCGGGGCGGGCCGGUGGUAAGGCGGUGGUGGCGGCGUCCUUUCGCUCCAGGAUCAACAGCCUUCUCAACCCUUACCUCCCACGCCGCUGCCUCUUGAGCUGCCACGGGUCCCACCGAGGCCUCCGCCGACUGGUACGUCCAGUCGGGCAGCUCCCGAGCUGCCACGGGUACCACCACGGUCUCCGCAGACAACUGCGUCUCGUCCUAUAGCUCGCGAGAAGUCACGGGUACCACCACGGCCUCCGCCGACAGGUUCGCCUGGUCGUACAGCUCCCGAACUGUCGCGGACACCACCAUGGUCUCCGUCGACAGUUGCGUCUGGUCGUACAGCUCCCGAGCUGUCAAGGAUACCACCACGGUCUCCGUCGACAGUUACGUCUGGUCGCACAACUCCCGAGCUGUCACGGAUACCACCAAGGUCUCCUCCGCCAGCUGCGUCUUGGCGCACAACCGCGGCACCGUCGUGGGUACCACUACUAACUUCGUCUACAUCUACGUCUAGUCGCACGACUACCGCACCGUCGUGGGUACCACUACUGACUUCGUCGACGACUGCGCCUAGUAGGAUAGUUCCUACGCUGGUGGGUCCUGUCCUUCGUGCCCCUACUACUGCCUCGACAGUUACAAUGAGGACUCCUUUACUCUCGGUAGUAGCUUCAAUAUCGACUCUGCCCCUUCAAGACCGUGCUGACCUCAAAAGAGUUCUCUAACAACAGAGAGGUUAACUACGUCCAGAACCCACUUAUAAGACUCCGAGUUUACCGUUAGGUUCUCCUGCCCGUCGUUGUCUUAAGGAAUAAAUCUCUCUGCGUGAGUCUCGACAAAUCGGUCGAGUUACUACGAGAGAACUCCAAACUUCUCCCAGGAGGCAAAUGUGAAGUUUCCGAAACACUCUAAAACAACCUAGGUUUUCCUUGUAUGUGUUUUAACAGCUUCGAACGAAACCGGAACCUCUUCUUGGAGGAUCAGUGCAGAUGGUAUUGAUUCACAUGACUUGGGAUGGGAUGACGAGUACCCGGUUUAAGUCUUCCUGGUCACUAGUGUCUUUUGUGUCCAAGACAACUACAUCUCGGACUUUCCGGCCGUCUCGUAGGACGACGUCACGGGUUACCUUGUGUCAUACGUCCUCCACUACCACUACUUCUCUACCGACUGCGUCUUCGCCUCCCCGACGGACCAUCGGUACUACAGCUCUACGUCCUCCUCUUCGGACUAGUUUAAGGUCUACAAUUGGGACUGCGGUUGAGUCAAUGACGUCAACGAACACUUUGUCAAUUACGGUCACUUUUUCGAGGUCUAAGUGUUUCAACUCGAGUGAGUGUCGCUUCCGGUCUUCUGGAUCACGUCGAGAGAAAUUGUUAGGUCGAUAACACUGUAGAGACACGGAUCGACUAAUACGAUACACCAAGAGGGUACUUAGCGCGGGUAUCUGUUAUACUAAUCCCCCAGCACGAAAUACGAAAUUUCAACAUCACUCGGCAGCUUCUACCUUUACCUAUAGAACUGGUACCAACUCUACUUACUUUAAGAGACUCCUUUUUACAUGAGUUUUACCGCUACCGUGUAAGAGGAACCAACAGUGGACUUUCAUACACCUGAAGAAGUGAAGUGAAGGUCCACGGUUUUCAAUACUACAUGGGUUCCAAUCAGUUUAACCUAUAAACCGAUAGGAAAAAACGUUAAACAUGACAUCACUUGAACACGUAGUAAUCUUUCACUGUAGAAAGGACGGGGUAAAAAUGACACUUCGUUAAUUGGACCCGACGCAUAACUGGAAGAUCACAAAGAAUCGUGUAGGGUGACAGUAGACGCCAACAAAUACUCACGUGCGGUGGCAUAAGCACGAAAAGACAGCUACGUUCGAAACACAUAAUCAUUACAAACACGACGACAGAGUACAACUGUCAUCGCAAACACAAUUUGACUGCUACACUGUGAUUGG
rnacentral:rRNA from 1 species